GAUGAAGAACGCAGCGAAAUGCGAUAAGUAAUGUGAAUUGCAGAAUUCAGUGAAUCAUCGAGUCUUUGAACGCACAUUGCGCCCCCUGGUAUUCCGGGGGGCAUGCCUGUCCGAGCGUCAUUGCUGCCCUCAAGCACGGCUUGUGUGUUGGGCCCCCGCCCCCCGGCUUCGGGGGGCGGGCCCGGAAGGCAGCGGCGGCACCGCGUCCGGUCCUCGAGCGUAUGGGGCUUCGUCACCCGCUCUGUAGGCCCGGCCGGCGCCCGCCGGCGACCCCAAUCAAUCUUUCCAGGUUGACCUCGGAUCAGGUAGGGAUACCCGCUGAACUUAAGCAUAUCAAUAAGCGGAGGA
rnacentral:misc_RNA from 1 species